rnacentral:rRNA from 1 species
UGCAGUCGAACGGCAGCGCGGGGCAACCUGGCGGCGAGUGGCGAACGGGUGAGUAAUAUAUCGGAACGUACCCAGAAGUGGGGGAUAACGUAGCGAAAGUUACGCUAAUACCGCAUACGAUCUACGGAUGAAAGUGGGGGACCUUCGGGCCUCAUGCUUUUGGAGCGGCCGAUAUCUGAUUAGCUAGUUGGUAGGGUAAAGGCCUACCAAGGCGACGAUCAGUAGCUGGUCUGAGAGGACGACCAGCCACACUGGAACUGAGACACGGUCCAGACUCCUACGGGAGGCAGCAGUGGGGAAUUUUGGACAAUGGGCGCAAGCCUGAUCCAGCAAUGCCGCGUGAGUGAAGAAGGCCUUCGGGUUGUAAAGCUCUUUUGUCAGGGAAGAAACGGCUCCGGCUAAUAUCCGGGGCUAAUGACGGUACCUGAAGAAUAAGCACCGGCUAACUACGUGCCAGCAGCCGCGGUAAUACGUAGGGUGCAAGCGUUAAUCGGAAUUACUGGGCGUAAAGCGUGCGCAGGCGGUUUUGUAAGUCUGACGUGAAAGCCCCGGGCUCAACCUGGGAAUUGCGUUGGAGACUGCAAGGCUUGAAUCUGGCAGAGGGGGGUAGAAUUCCACGUGUAGCAGUGAAAUGCGUAGAGAUGUGGAGGAACACCGAUGGCGAAGGCAGCCCCCUGGGUCAAGAUUGACGCUCAUGCACGAAAGCGUG